CAGUAGCCGCGGGAAUACGUAGGGUGCAAGCGUUAAUCGGAAUUACUGGGCGUAAAGCGUGCGCAGGCGGCUUCUUAAGUCGGAUGUGAAAUCCCUGAGCUUAACUUAGGAAUUGCAUUCGAUACUGGGAAGCUAGAGUAUGGGAGAGGAUGGUAGAAUUCCAGGUGUAGCGGUGAAAUGCGUAGAGAUCUGGAGGAAUACCGAUGGCGAAGGCAGCCAUCUGGCCUAAUACUGACGCUGAGGUACGAAAGCAUGGGGAGCAAACAGGAUUAGAUACCCCGGUAGUCCCUGUCUCUUAUAC
rnacentral:rRNA from 1 species